rnacentral:rRNA from 1 species
GAUGAACGCUGGCGGCGUGCCUAAUACAUGCAAGUCGAGCGAACAGAUGAGGAGCUUGCUCCUCUGACGUUAGCGGCGGACGGGUGAGUAACACGUGGAUAACCUACCUAUAAGACUGGGAUAACUUCGGGAAACCGGAGCUAAUACCGGAUCAUAUAUUGAACCGCAUGGUUCAAUAGUGAAAGACGGUUUUGCUGUCACUUAUAGCUGGAUCCGCGCCGCAUUAGCUAGUUGGUAAGGUAACGGCUUACCAAGGCGACGAUGCGUAGCCGACCUGAGAGGGUGAUCGGCCACACUGGAACUGAGACACGGUCCAGACUCCUACGGGAGGCAGCAGUAGGGAAUCUUCCGCAAUGGGCGAAAGCCUGACGGAGCAACGCCGCGUGAGUGAUGAAGGUCUUCGGAUCGUAAAACUCUGUUAUUAGGGAAGAACAAAUGUGUAAGUAACUAUGCACGUCUUGACGGUACCUAAUCAGAAAGCCACGGCUAACUACGUG